CGGGUGAGGAGAUAAAGAGUGAGGGCAGCAGAGGGGUGGGGCAGUGGGUCAGGCCCGUCGGCUGCUCGGUGUCACCCUGCUGCCAGCCGCAGCCCCAGGAGGUGGAGGUGGAGGUGGGGGUGGGGGUGGCUGUCAGCUCGCUUUGGCCGUUGUGCAACUGUUGGCCAACCCUUUGAGUGGAUGCACUCCGAGCUGCCUGCCCUGGGCCUGAGCACGGCUGGUUUAUGGACAGAAAGGGGGUUAAAGGCGCACGCAGCCCCCCAAGCUGCCCUUUCAGCUUUGAACUUGCUCGGUUGUGGAUCCUUGGUGUGCUUUGGGUCUCUCUAUCUAUGAGCUAGAGAUAGCAGUUGGCUCCGUGCGGGGAUUAAUUACCCCGUCUUGUAGUCGUGUAUUUGUUUAUUUGUUUUUACUAUAGAUUACAGCUGGAGGAAUUCUAAACAACCCGAGCCUCCUUGUCGUGGUGUUUAAGUGCAUUGUGCUCCUGUCUGAGCAGAGGAAAUCGCUGAGGCUAAGUGGAACAGCAAGGAGUGAUCUGCCCAUGGAGCCAUAAAGUGGAAUUAAGGAUCAAGUUCUUCUGAAUCUUGGUCUUGUACUUCUUCCUACAGCCAAGGUGCCUUUAAAGCUCACGAAUUAUGAGGGUGAAAGCUUGGGUUAGUUAGUGAGGUACACAGAGCUAUCCUGGCAGAGAGUUUGGGCCUCAACUCCCUUUAUUACAUGCAUAAAAAAAAGAUAAUGAUAUCUCUAGGUAAAAAGCCUUGGAGUGUAGUGGUAGCUGCUGGAAAAAAAAUGUGGGUAAUGCUUCACUAUUAACUGCCAAGUCGUUUAUUUAACACAAUAGAUAUGGGUUUGAUAAGCGCUCGGUGACUGCUUCACAAGUAAACAGUAUCAUCUGUGUCCCACCAGUACGGAGAGAGUCCACUGACAUGGUUAAGGAGCAGGCCUAUAAAGAUGGCAGUGUUUGUUGUUGCCAGCUGAACUAGGCAUGCUUAACAGGGCUUCCUAGGCCCUACCCAUCAGGCAUGCUCUUACUGCCUUGUCAGCCAAUCGCAGUGGGCAUCUAGGAUGUUAUGUCAACUUAGCUCAGUUUGCAAACUUACUGAUGCAAAUUUUAGCUUUUCUUUUAAGGAACUAAACCAGUUCAUGUAUGCCUGCAUCUUGGAUCUGCACCAGUGUAUCCAUCAGGUAGCUGUAUGCAUGGCUAGCACCAUCUGAAGGAGGUGCUAGGACAUCAGUAAAUAGAAAUUACAAAUUGCACGGCGGUUCAGCUGACAGGCAGAACUGGUUUCAGUGCAUUGUUGCAGUGUGCUGCUGCAGACCUGGUCUGGGGGCAGACCUGGACAGCAUUCCAGUGCAGACAGGACCUGUAAAGUGUGCAUCAGCACUGCAUGAUAUCGUAGGAGAGGAAGUAGCGAACAAUACCGUGUCCAACGGAAGCUGUGGCAAGAAUUUAUCCGAGGCUCAUUGUAAUUACUCAAGCUGGGAAUUUGGCCAGUGCACUGGGGUUAACACCCCUACUUCUUUAGGAGCGUCAUAGUUUAUUUUUUUAAUGACUUUAAGUGAUGAGAAGCUUGGCUGUCUGUCUCAGCAGAACAGCACCGCCUCUUGCAGUAUAAACUUCUUACAACACAAAGGAGCUGCUCCAGAACUAACUCGGAGUGGUGGAGCCUGGCUCAGUAAUCACUGCUAAAUAAAUACUCUCAGUAGAUAAGAAAGAUAAGAGUGUGAUUAGGGCAGUUUCAGCUGCUGUAAUCACAGUCGUACCUUCCUUAGCCUUCAGUCCCCACGCUCCACUCUGACCUUUUUUAAGCGAGCAAAUGUAAAUUUCAGAAUAAAUCAUGGAAUCCGAGCCAGUGAAAUUUGGUUAUUAAUUAUAAUUGCAGUUAUGAAUCACAGUUGUCUCUGCUUCUAUUCUAGGCUAUUUGCCAUCGUAUAAGCAGAAUGUGAUUUACCCAAAUAUAUAUAUUUUUUAUCAUUUCACGAAACUCUUAUGAUUCUAUUAUGCACUGAUUUAGAAACCAGCUUUCACCUUGUUCUCUGCUUGUAAAGAUAAGCAGUUGUGUCUUUUAGCACAUAGAUAGUUGUGAAAUGCACAAGCGAGGAACUGUUUUAUUUGCUCAUCAAACGUGCCAUCAUUCCAGUAGUAGCUUAGACCAUUAUCAUGGGUUAGAAGGUUAUACAGGAAAAACACGUUCUAGAGAAAGGCUGGUCAAAAUAGAGGAGAUAGCCUUAGAAAAGCAGAUCAUAACAACCUGUAUCACUCAGUAUGUGUCAGGCAGAGUCCUGACAGUUUGUCAUAAUGACAGAAAUGAAGCAAUACCAACACUGUUACAUAACCACGUUUGUAUUAUAAGAAAACAAUAACACUUCACUGCGCUCUUACCUUUUAUCAGAGAAAUAAGAUUGUUCUUUGCUGUCUGCUCAUGGUUGUCCCAUGAUUCAGGAGAGCAGUGCUGUCCAUGAAGAAAAGGGGAAAGAGACACGAGAGGAGGAAGUAGUUACCGAGGUCACGUGGGGAAGCAGUGUCAGAGGCAUGAGCAGAAUCUCAGCCUUCUGACUGUCCCACUCUGCCCUCAGGGCAACCAGACAGAAGUGCAAGAGUGGCUUGCCCUGUGACUCAACUGCUCUUCCUUCCUCAGCAGCUGGCAUGCUGGGCAAUUACAAAUAAGUGCCAGUGUGCCACUUGCAUCUGUGUCGGGUUCCCAAGGGACUCUAGGCAGGCUGGAGAAGGCUGGAUGGAAGGAUCUCUGCAAUGCGUUUCUUUGGGAGCAUUUUUAGAACUUGGAAAGAUUCUCUUUUUGCCAGAUGUGUGUUACUUUCCACUGAUUUCUUUCAUAACUUGUGUAACCUGGGGACACCCAGGGUUUUUUACCCUCCUCUGCAAGGGACUAACAACAAACUUGUGGCAUAUGUGCCAAAUGAACUUACAAUGAGAUGAGAUAAUGCUUGGGGGGAUCCUGUAAGCUUCUCCUUGAGGGGAGUGCUGAUGAGCUGUGUGGCCUUGCACAGGUUUGCUUUGUGGCUCAGAAUGGGAUUGGGGCCAUUGAUCUGGGCUGAUGCUAAAACUGGGAGACAGUUCUUCUGGAAGUUCAUUCUGUAGCAGGAGGGUGCUGGUGGUGUCUGAGUCUCCUACCAGAUACAGGGUGAGGCCUUGCAUCUUCAUCUGAGCAGCACCUCCAGUUUUGAUGUCCUCAUGCUUCUCUGUAUCCAACACCUGCGUUCUGUUUAGGUGGCUGUCAGCAAUUGUCCUCUUGUGAUACACUAAUGCUGGGAUGCACUUCCAGAAUACCAGUUCAGCCUUGGCCUUGAGGAAUAAGUGAUGGAAGGAAACAGCACAGGAGGAGGCUCUGUCUUGGUUCUGGUCUUUGGAUGGAUGGAUAAGGAGAGGUCUGUGGCACAGAGGGGUGAAAGGUGACUAAGAGUGUGAAACUUGCAAAAAACUCAUUAUAAUCAUGCAAUCUUCAGGUGGUUUUCUUUCUCUGGAAGAAGCCACCUCGUGUCACUUGGCCUGCUGGCAGUUGUUGCUCACCCGGAUAGAAGUAUUAAACAGUUAUUUCUCUGUUUAGAAAGUUUAAUACGACGUCAUAGCAGUGAGGCUACAACACUACAUAUUGUUUUCUUCUUUCAUAGUUUUGUGUCCAUGCUCACAAAGCUCUGUUGAAUUUUGCUGUGGCUCUUUGAGGUGUUGCUGGUCUAGUCCUGCUCCACGGCUUGCUUUCCCAUAGCAGAGCCAGCAGAAAGGUUUGCUCUGUGAUUGCUGACCCUGGUCCAGGGCAGCAUCCCCCAGAAGAGCAGCUUGCUGGAGGUGAUGAUUUAAACCACUGAGCAUGUUUCCUAGGAGGACUCUUACUUUCCUAAUUAGCAUGCCUGCUUUUCCAGUGAGCUGCAGUGAAUGGCUUCCCCAUUGACCCAGUGGAUCCCAGUCUUGCAUUUUACAAGCAAAACGACAUGAUGUUGUAAAUGUACUCCUUGGAACUGAUUCUCCUCAUAACCUGUAAAACUAUUGUGAAAAUAUGGCCCUGUCCCUCAGCAGUUCUGCAGUCACCUCUCUGAGACGCUGUGUUUCACUCUUGAAUCAAAUUUUAGACCAGAAAAAGGGUUAGGCUGCAUGCAGAUUAACAGAUCUGUUGCUUGUAUCUCUGGCUACUGCAGCAUGACUCACCCAUCAGCGCCUGUCAGCAGCUGUGUGACCUCAUUGGAAGCUUCAGCGUCUCCUGUGUGAAGGUAGCUCGUAAUCCAGAAUGGGAAUCCUGGGUAGGUGGAGAGACCGUGGUGAUACACACAGCAGGAGUGUUCUCUGUAGAAAUCAGAUGUGCCCUCAGCCAGGAAUUACCCUAAAAAUCCUUGCAUAUUUCUGAAGAUCCUUAAAUGCUGAGGCUGCCUUUCCCUUGCCUCUACUAAAAAGCACCUGUAGCUUUUCAAGACAGUGAUUGGCAUCACUGCUGAUAGGAAAAUGUGAAAGUAGAUAGGUCAGGGAGGAGAAGCUCCUUUAUUUGCAAGGGCAAGGAAGAGCUGAUGGCUCCUCUUUAUUUGCCACAUCUUCUAUUGACGUGAUGUACUGACACAGGAACAACAGGGCUGCUGGCAUGCUGUUUGAGGGAGACAGGUGAAAAAACAGCAAGAGGAUCUAUAAUAAAAGGAAAGGAUGAGUGAAUUAACUUGUGGUACCUUACACGUGUAGCUUAGAGAAGUAGUGUGAUGGUGAAACAAAAAGUGGGAGGCAGCACUUUAGGCAUCAGAUGGUUGUCUUCAGCUGCUGCUUGCUGGCUGAACACAAAGCUUGUGCUCCUUGUCUCUGCCUCCUGCCAGGGGCUGUUACACAGUUCCUCAGACAGGGGUAGAGCUGGCAUUGACUGAAUGUGGUUAUGCAGAGCUGCUGCAGACCAGCUCUGUUACCUAGCAAGUCUAUUCUCUUGCACUUUGCCUCAGGUGGAUGGUAGUAUUGCUUCUGCAUUCCGUAAAUUUCUUUCUUCUGCCCGGGAAUGUGGAUUCUCUUGGUGAAUAUUCUGUUCCAAGAGAAUUUGUUUCACGUUUCGGUGCUUCUUUAAGGAAGGUGUAGGUGGUCUUACAGUUGAGGCACGCAUGGGAGGAGGAACUAGGCAGCAUUUUGUGUCUCUUCGUCCAGGAUUCCCUGCCACCAGGGUCAGCCAGGUCCUGCAGCUGUCUGCCUGGCUGCUGUGUGAUUCCAGCAUGCAAUAAGCUCGUGUGUCUGCCUGCUUUCUGGAACCAAGAUGUGCAAUAGAUGCAGAGCACAGCUAGUCCUGGAAAUGAGUCUCUGCGGCUCUCUGCAUGGAGGCCGAGGUCUGGGUGAUGUUUUGAGACUGAGCUUGCCUUCGCUGGGUGAUCUGAUGGGUGUGAAGGGCAAGAGAUGGAGGGCCCAUAGCAGUGCUGUCUGUGCUGCAGUCACCUGCGGGUGUGAUGGUUUAACUGUUCAUUUUUUUUUUGCCAGUAUUUGAAGUUUCAUUGCUUGAUUUACAUCUGAGUAAAUUUCUUUAGUAUCUUGGAAGACUUUUCUUUCCAGUAUGAAAGCUUACCUCGGGUUCCGAUGGCAUCCUGCUCUUACCUCCAGCUCAGCCCUCACCACUGCUCUCCGCUUUUGACAUGGAACGGGCAGACACCAUUUGUGACCGUGCGAAUAUCCUGAGUCACACACUACCAGCUGGCUUUUGUGCUGCAGUUUUCCCUUCUCCCUUUACGACUGCACUCCCUAGAGGAGACCUGAACAAUUGCACUCGUCAGCAGAAGCGCAUGGUGUGCCGUGCCUGGAUGGCACCAUUGGUGGACGACCUCUGGCUGUGUCUGUGGGGUGAGUGGUCUGUGGUUCGUUGCUGUGUGUCUGCUGCUUCCGUUCCAGAGAGCAGAACGGGUGAAGGGGUACUUCAAGUGCAUUUCCAUUGUAUUUACUAGUAAAAUAUCUACAGUAUGGAGAUGGCAAUGUGAAGUCUUCAUUAAAUAAUUAUUGGGAAGGAGUGAUGACACCAGUGGUACUGUAGAAGAUAGAUAGAUAGAUAAAUUGUGUUCAAAUGAAUGAACUAAAGGCAUCUCUGAGGCUUCUAGUGAAGCCCUCACUGAGCUUUUUGAUCCAGCAGGUCUUGGCAUACAGUUGCUGGACACACCUGAGUCUGCUGCAGUUCCGUUCUGACCAAACAACAAUAUAUUAAACGCCAUUAUUCUGUCUAUGCCAUUUCUAUGUAUUCACAAAAAACAAGUUGAUUUCUUACUAAACUACUUCUAAUGUACACUGCAUAAAAUGUUAUUAGUAAAUGGCCAGCUGAUUUCAGAAGGCUAUAACAUACACAAACCAUUAACGUUUGUCCAAGACCAGAUGGGUUAAAGCAGCUCAUCCUGCAAGGCAGAGUUGUCAGUGAAAUCAAUCAAGUCUUUGUUUGGAAGCAUUUGGGACAGCCCAUACUGUGGUGGUCCUGCAAUGGAGGAGAGAUGUGGGCUGUGCUGACUCAGAAGACAGGUGCUUGUUGCAUCCAUUGGGGAAGGAGCAGUGCACCUUAGGAGCAGGAUGUGGGUUUUGGUGGGAGAAGUCUUGCAGAGCCUCUAGAAGAAAGUCAGGGAGGGAAAAAGAAGACAUGAGGUGGACUUGGAGCUGAGGACAUCCUGGUUCCUCUUACUGUGUGGGAAGCUUGUGCCAGGCAGGAUAGUGCUGUUAAUGUGACUGUUUGAAGAGAGUUGGGAAGGCAUGAGCCGUAGGUAGAGAUAGCAGCAGUCCUGAGAGGAGUUUUCGGGGGGGGACGACUGACAGCUGUUUAAAAACUCACAUAGAUGUUUACUCACUUGCUCCUGCUUGACGUGCCUGACUCAUCCAUCCCUGUCUGAACAUACCAGUUCCCAUUUUUUCUCUUCUCUCCUUUUGUUAACCUCAUCUUUCCUAUUCUUCAAGCUUCCUUUUGUAGCUGGGUUUCAUUCUGUUAGAUCCAGUUGAUUUGGCUUCUGCUCUGCCUGGGCUUUGCACCUGCUACAGCCCCAGCAAACUUGGCAGCAACCCUUCGGCUCUGCAGAGAAAACAACUGUCUAGACCAGGAACGUUCUGCCUGAUGCCCUGGACGGACCCCAGGCACUAAUCUGCAUCCACAACGGCGCGUUGUUGUGUGAGUGGUUCCUCUCUGCUCUCCCUUCUGCCUCUGCAGAAUCACAUGUGCUGAUUUCUCAGCAGGUGCUGGCCUAAUGCGUAUUGAUCUCCUGCACAGGUCUGUUGCAAAAGAUGGAUAAAAUCUUUGUGGACUCCUAAUUGCACCUUUAGCCUCCUGGUGAGUAAGGCAAAUGGGAGUGAGGGCUCCCACUGUAUAAAUAGCACCUUCCGCAGGCUUGGAAGCAGCUCAGGCUGGAGGGCAACAACACAAGGGCUCUAUCAGGGAUCCCUGCCGAGUUCAGGAAGUUGUGCUGCUUAUUCCUAAAAUGAUUAGAAAGAAAAACCUCGGUGUAAAGAUUCUUAUGGCACAGAAAGGGCAGAGAGGCCUUAGUGCGGAGUCACAUGCCAUUCCCAUUCACAGCUAAAGCCCCGCUGCCCCAGGCAAACACAGAGCCUGUCAGCGUCCUGCAGCUCACCUUGCAGAGAUGGGACCAAAAUAGCUUCACAACUUCACAACGCCACUAAAAAUAGCUUGCAGGUCAGCUCCUUUCUUAAAGGUAGUGGUGAUAUGGGAGAGCGCUCCUGCUGCCGUUCAGUGCAGGUGGAGCUGGGUAAACAAGGGGAAAAGCUGCUCCCACCAUCCUCAGGGGUUUAAUCUGUUGUGUGUGUGAGCCUGGCUGUGGAGAGGAGCCUCAGCCAGGUUUGGCAGUGCCUGAUUUGCAAUGCUACGGGAAGCAAAUGUAGGUUAGGAGAGGUUUGCCUUGCCUGCAGCCGCCUGUGCUGCCGAGGGAGCUGCGCUGCAGCAGGCGGUGCUGGCAAGGAUUUCCUUUGUGCUACAGCUUUCAUGCCUAGUGAUUUUAUGGGGCUGAAAGGGAGGGAGGAGGUGACAAAACGGUGAAAACCUGAGGCCAGGUCGUUGCUGUCAGAUGGGGACGGAGUCCUGCAGCAGUCAGAGGUGACAGAACACACUGAUGCUGCUACCAGGAAGCUCGAGAGAAAUGUGACUGAGUGAUACAGUGCGCAUGUGCCUAUGGAGAAAGGAGGCUAUCUGUGAGCUCUAGCAGUGCUUUUCUCUGCCCAGCAACAUCUCUGCUUCUUUCCUACGUUCUGCUUAAGCAGCUGUUCUGCAUUUAUGAUCUGAUCUGCACGCUGAGUCAACGUCGCUGUAACGACAUGGAUGGAGGGCAGAGGUCCGCAGGUUUGCUUUGAGGAAGCCCCAUAAACAGGGUAAUAGCACCAGAGUUACUGUUCUCUUGAACUAAAGGGAGAGAAAGUAAGCUGCCAAUCAAAAAGAACAUCUCGUGGCACAGGCAGAUGUUUCUGAUGGCGAUGCCGGAGCCAGCAGAACCCCUGCAGCAGUGCAGCCCCAUGGUGCUGGAGGCCCUUCCAGACUGGAGGUGUGGCGGUGGUCUGCAUGUCAGCAGAGCAGUCCCAGCAGCGUUCAGCAUGGAUGAGGUGAGGGAUGUUCACAGAGCCCCCGUCACCCACUAGGUAGCCAGAAGCAGCAGAAAAGCACACCACAGGGCUGCCGUCUGUGGCUGCAAUCUGCAGAACGCAGUGCUGUGCCUUGCAUUCUCCAUCCUUCUAGGUAUUGAACGCAUCCCCGUGCCUCUGGGGGGCAACGUGGCUUCUGCUGACGUGUGAACACUCUGCUUGGCAGCCUGGUGCAGCACAUCACAGCUCAGAUGGGUUCUCCCAGGCGGCUGUGCAGCACAGAGCUAAUACAUGGAAUACAGGUACAGUUAAUGCACGCGGGGGCAGUGGGAGGCAGUGCUGGCUUUGUUUGCAGUGUUGUUUUGGGCUGCGGCCUCAAUUCGUGCCCUGUGAGACGUGGUGGCCUGGCUGCAGUGUUCUGGGUGCAGUUCUCUGUAGCUGUGUCCCUACCUGUGCACCAGCUUUCAAGGCCUGUAGCUUCUUAAAGCAAAGUGCUGCUAACAAGGAAGCACAAGAUGGAAGCCAGCGUCCUCAAAGUGAUUAAUUUAAAAACAAAGACUGCUUCCCCACGAUGAUAAGCUGCUUGCUAUGUAUGGGGCGUGACCCAAUAGUUCCUUCACUUCUUAGUUCACCUGUCCUGGGAUGACCCCGCUCCCUCCUCAGUCUCUGUGCAGCCAUCACCUAACAGCUGCGGUUUGCAAGGCGCAGCCUGCUGCUGAUGUCAGCUGUCUCCGUUUUAUGGUAGCUCUUUGCUCUGCCUGCGUUAUAAAGUACAUUUGUGAUAGGGGGAGAGAGGCACAAGAGAGUGAAAGCCAUGCGCCGGGGCGUGCGGUGGCCAAGUGAUGGCAGGGUCUGUUCCCUCUGCAGUCUCUGAUAGGGAUGAGGCGUGCAAGAAAUCCCAGUGUGAUGAGCCUGCUAGGGGACAUUGCUUUGGUAAGCGGUGUUUUAUAUCAAAACCAGUUUGAACUGGGGGUGAAGAGUUGAGGUAUUGCACGUCAUCUUCUGAUCCGUGCCUCACAGAUACCUAAAUAUAUUGGCUUUUGUCUUGCUGACCCAGCACCUGGGUUCAUCAGAGCACUGUUCCUGUUCUGCAGCUGCCCUCUGUUCUCUCUCUCCAGCACUAGGUGUCCUCGAGGUGCAGCAGGACUUUGCCUUUUUUAGUAUAAUCCAAGGGCAUGAACUCAAGGAACGUUUCCACAUCAGGUUCCAGCUGAUAGAGACGAGCCCGGGGGGUGUUUACAGGUCUUCAGCCCAACUCGCUCUUCCAGCAUCGUGCUGCACUGUAGAGGUUUAUAUUCACCUGCAUAGGAAGAUAAGAGAGAGCGGUGGGAGCCAGCUUGCGUUGUCGGCGGGUGCUGGAUGGCUGUGGGAGCUCCUGCCGGGUCAUUACCCAGACCUUUAGCACAGUCAUUCUGAGCACUGCAAUCCAGCUCUGCCCGCAGCCUGCCCUGCCAGAGCUGCUCCCCGGGCUGCCCUGCCCCGCUUGCAAAUGGAGCUCCUCACCCUCUGCCUCUUUGCAAAUGAGUUGCAUAGGUCCUGGGAGGAGGAGGAGGAGGAGGCAGCUCAGCGGCUCGCCUGUCCCACCCCUCAUAAAGGCUCCUUGCUGCUCAGGGUUUCAUUUGCCACGUGAAUAGCGUGGGCAUCAGAGGCGGUUGUUUCCCUCAAUGCUCAGCCUGCUGCCAACAGGAGGCCGUUUCCCGGGGGGAGGGCAAGCUGUGCAUGCGGUGGGCGGUCAGCUGGGCACGGGGGGUCAGGUGCAGCGAUCAGCUCUGGCACAGCAGCACGCUGCCACGGGCAGAACGCACCCAGACCCGCUCCGCUCUGAUAGCGCGGCUCUCCCCACGCUGCUGUCCCUGCAGCCCGCUGUGGGCUCGGGUCCCCCCUCGCCUGUGCUGACACGGCCGCAGCAACCCAUCCCUCGCACCCGACGCUGCUCGCCUGCGUCUCGGUGCGAGGCAAACCCUCCCAAAGCAAACAGCGGUUGCUGCCGUCUGCAGCGACUCAGCUGCGCUGAAGGCAGCGGUCGGAGCGAAGUGCAGCUCGGAGAAGGCUGUGGGGAAGAGCGCGUUGCGUGGCACGUGGCGGGGCAGGAAACGCGCUGCAGCGGGCGAUGCUUUAUCAGGGCAGCCCACCCAGAAGCCGUUCAUCUCCCUGCAGCUGCAGACCUGCGGCUGGGAGCGCUGGGGGCUUUCUCCCAGGGAGGCGAGAGGAACCUGGGCUAUCACGAGGAAACAAGCGCCCGCCCCGUGCCCCCUGUCAGGAAGCAGGGCCUCCUUCCAGCCCGCCGUGUGAGGGGCUCGCAGAUAAGGAGGGGCAGGAAACCUGCCGGGCUUUGCUUCUUUAAGCAAAUAUUUCCCACAGGCUCAGCACCGUGAGUCAGCACUGCCGGAGCCCAGACUUGUUUGCAGCAGCAGCGAGGCGGUGCGGGAGGUGUGGGCUGCGGGAGCCCUUCUGCCCAAACGCCAUCCGGGAUGAAAUGGGGCUAACAGGGAGCAAAAGGCUGAACGGUGCUCGUGGACUCGUUCUGCACCGACCUGCCAGUCUGCAGGCCCCAAAAAUACAGGCACGGCCCAAAGGUUUCUAUUCAGGGCUCAGCAGUGGAAUAAGGAACAUGAGCCGUGGGAUAUCCCGUGUCACCGCAGGCUGCUCAGCCUGGAAGGGGCUGGUGGCAAAGGGAGGAAACGUCAGAAACGCCAUGGACUAUUUUAGAUCUGCAACCUCAGUUCUGCAAAGGACAGCCUGCUGAUGUGCCACGCUCAGCGAGCAGCGGGGAGGAACCCCACGGCAGGAAGAGAGGUUUGCAAGUUUCCCUUUCCCAUAGAGCACAUCCCAAACUGCUGCACGACAGCAUGCUGUGCAGUGCUGUGCUGCGUGGUGUCCUGUCAGCCUGCUGGGAGGACACGGAGUGCUCCAGCAGUGGGCAAUGUGGGAGCAGGCUGUGAGCUGCACAGCCCAGCAUACAGCACGGUGUGAGGCUGGAACUCCCAGUGCCCUCAGCACGUCUCCGUGCUGCGUCCCUGGCUGUGCAGCUCGGCCUGGAGGGCCCGGGGCUGUGAGCUCAUGGGUUUCUAUUUAUGCUUUCAUCUGGUUUUGCCUGCUUUGGACGGUUAACGUAACGCACACGCAGGGUGGUGCUUCAAGGAGACAAACAGUUGCUUCAUCUCCCUGUACAGACAGCCCUCUGCCCUUUGCGUUUCGAUUCCCGGUGUCUGUGUGUGUGGAGGUGAUUUGUCCAUAAUUGUUUGCUUUCUCCGGAGUCCUUUGAAGCGUCUGUCUCCCAACCGGUCCCCUCUUAAGAAUAAAUGCUUCCAAGCCACCAAUAACACGUGGGCCAUGAUUACAGCCCGGCUCCUCGCUGAGGGCCGUGAGGUCACCGAGGCAGCGCAGUGGGAACGGUUUUGCCUUCUGUGUGUGGGGUUGGGCAGAAGGACCCCCUGUGCUGCAGUGAGGGGCGGGGAGGGCUCUGUGUGGUGCUGGGGGGGCUCUCCGGGCACCGCGGCCUUUUCUUUUUGCUUUAUUGCCAUACCGAGUAUUUAUAUGGGGGCAGGAAGCGGUGUUUAAGGACGGUCUGUGCGCUCUGUGUGCCCCUUUGGAGGGCGUUACGAUGGGCUUUAAUUCCCUCAGCCCGUUUUCUUGCCCUUCUUGCCUCCUGUCUGCUGCAGGAGGUAAAGCCUCGCUGCGCACUGCCCGCGUGGGGCUCUCCAUCCCACCAGCCAAAACGUGGGCUCUCUGUUGGGUCUCUCCAUCCCAAGUGUGUCCCUCUGGGACUCCCCACCCCUCCGCCCUGCCAACAGAGCGCGCCGCCUCCUCACCCCGAAUCCCACCGCCCCGUCGGGUGUCCGUGAGCAAUUGGGGGUCCGCGCUGCGCCACGGGGCCACGCCGGGCAGCGCCGGGGCAGGGAUAAGGGCUGGGAUCGCUGUGCUGAAUGCAGGGGAAGCACCGCACAGCCCUGGGGAUCCGCCACCCGGACGGGGACGUCCCGCCGUGGGCUCGGACGGCCGCAGACAUCAGCGGGCUGUGCGGGAUGGAGCUGCAGACGGAGGGCAGAGGCCGCGGGGCGCUGCCGUGCGGAGCCCGACGCUCCUCGGGGGUCCCUCCCAUGCCGGGACGCGCCGCGAUUCCGCGCUGGAAGCCGUAGGGAAGCACGCGUUUGGACGCUGCGCCUUCCCGCAGCCCGCUCGGCUCAUCGCCCUCCUCCGCCGUUCCCCCCAAACCUCCCCCGUUUCUUCGGGAAUCGCCCAGAAGCACCGCCGGUCCC
ensembl:lncRNA